AUCCAAAUUGGAGGCACUGUGUCAACGCUGGUGUCUUUGCUCAUGAGAACCCCAUCGCAAGUUGUUAUUUGUGAGGAGUUCCAUCAAAGAAAGGAAAUGGGACGAGGUGAUUUAAGCUCUUAAAUGCUUUGAAGCACAUUCACUCAGCACAGCCUUGCUGACCUGGAUGUGAAGCCUGACAACAUCUACAUCUGCAAUCGCUGCCACGUGACGGGAUGAUCCUCCAUUUGAGCUCGCAGAUCUGAGGCGCCACACUGCUCCAUGAAUUCCCAGGCUGAUCAAUUGGAGCGUGCGCCUCGCAGAUCCCAAUUUGGUGGAUCAAACAUGGCGCUCGCAGUGAGGUAGAAAAAAUAUAAGUCUUGCGAGAAGACACUGUAUCAGGUAACACACAUCAAUCUACUCUUUUUUGGCAUCACCCGAUUGCAUUGAAAAGGUUAGUUUUUAUGCCUGUCCAUACCCCUCAGUAAAUAUCUUUUGCUUUCUAUCUGCCCUAAUAAUUGAUCUCCAUUUCCAAAA